rnacentral:rRNA from 1 species
GCGUGUCGUCAGCUCGUGUUGUGAAAUGUUGGGUUAAGUCCCGCAACGAGCGCAACCCUUAUCCUUUGUUGCCAGCGGUCCGGCCGGGAACUCAAAGGAGACUGCCAGUGAUAAACUGGAGGAAGGUGGGAUGACGUCAAGUCAUCAUGGCCCUUACGACCAGGGCUACACACGUGCUACAAUGGCGCAUACAAAGAGAAGCGACCUCGCGAGAGCAAGCGGACCUCAUAAAGUGCGUCGUAGUCCGGAUUGGAGUCUGCAACUCGACUCCAUGAAGUCGGAAUCGCUAGUAAUCGUGGAUCAGAAUGCCACGGUGAAUACGUUCCCGGGCCUU